CAGUGAGCUGGAGGGGCCGCGGCGGCGCCGGGGGUGCCAGCCGCCUCCUCUGGCCGCCGGCCCGUCGGCCCUGCAAAGUUUAACGCCAAUUCCCCUUGCGUCCUGGGAGCCGAGCGUUUUCUCUCCCUGCUGACGCUCCCAGCAGCUCUGCCUGGCCAGGCCAGGCUGGAGAGCACCCGGACCAUUUUCCAGACGGUGAGAUGGAGCCCUGGAAACCGAGCUUAUGAGCAGCCCGGAGCUUUCCAUUGCCUGCCCAGCCUUCCAGAUACAUCCCAGUUCCAGUUCUUUCCAGAGCCCUCUGGGAUCCAGCCAGCCUGCUUCCCCGCCAGGGCCUCACUGCUUCCAAAGUGAGUCCCCAUAACCUAGAAAGUCUGUAACUCUGUGGAUCUGGUGACAGCUGUGAAUCUACUAGAACACUACACAUAGCCACAAAAUCGUGCAUCUAACACGAGGGGGUCUGGACCCCUCUGAAGCCCAAUCACGAACUCUAAAUUAAGAUCCACCUCCACUUUUUAAUCUGAGCCCUGUCUCCCAUAACCCCACUGCCGGCAGGGCACUAGCGCUGCGAGGCUUCCUCUCAGGUCAGCCGCUUGCCUCUUCCUGUACCCGCUUCCCUAUCUGAGCAGGACUACAAGGCCCACCUCUGCAGCAUUCUUGCCCAGGCCUGAUUCUCAAGCAAAGUCUUUUCUCCACAAAUAGAGCCUACUUCCCAGAAAUUUGGUGGCUGCCUCUGUGCUAUGAUUUGGUUGCUACCUGCUGAAGCUUCAACCUCUCAUCACUACCAGAAGGACCACAUCACUAAAAGUCCAUCAAUGGGGUUACUCACUUUGAUGGGCCUGUGCAGCGUCAUUCAGGAAGCCCGUGGUACUCACAUCACUCUGGCCAGACGCUAACAAGAAAAUGAUCCACUGUGACGCAGCCGACCCCAUCCAGUGCAUCCACAUUACCUGGAAAGAAGCAAUUAUGCCCCUUUGGUUUCCUUGGAAAUGCUUGGUCUGUCUCUACCAUCCGCCCUGGCUCUUGAGAAAUACUCAUGCACGGUAGAGCUUUGACAGGGAGACAGUGUGUUUAUUUUCCAACUGAAAGUUUACAGAAUACAAAGUGAGCCUGUAAGAUGGUGGCCACUCUCCAGAGGCUUGUUGGUCAGACAGGAAAGAAAACCAGUGCACCAUCGGGAACGUGGAGGAGGCUGAAAGAGAGGGACAAACAUAUUGGAUUGGAUUGGGCCCCCACAGUCAAGUUCCUGCAAACCAAGCUGGGAGAUUUUCCUGACUAAGGGUUAUGUUCUUGGGCCUCAAAGCUCCCCAGCCAACGCCCAGCUUCUGUGCCGAGGAGGAUACAGGAGGACAGACACAGCCUCUGUGUCAGGAGGAGGGAAGAAGGACUAAUGUCUGUGGACACUCUGAGGCUCACAGGGAGAAGCCACACACUCGCAGCACCAGGUCUGUGGUUUUUCAUGACCCUACACUGUCCCCUAGAAGGAAGUACCACCCAGCAGAAACAGAAGCCAAGGAAUUUCCCCAUAGAGAUCAUGGCAUGGGCUUGAGUUCAAGAACUCAAUGGACAGCGGGCAGAAAUUGGAAAGCCCAGAGCCUCCACCACUAACUCCUGUGUGACUUCUGUAAGUCCCUUGCCCUUAAUUCACCCAUAUGAAAAAUUAGGAAAAAUGAUCUCUCACUUCUGAAAUUCAAUAAUUCUAUGAUGUCAGCAACUGGACCCAAGAGAUGAUGAGUUCUGCUACAGUUGUCUUGAUGAAAGUAAAAGCUGACAUUUUUUUAAGCAGCUGCUUAGAGUUUACCACUUGAGAUUUCAUGUAAUCCUUACAACCACUCUAGAAGGUAUAUUAUCUCUGUUCUCCCACUAGACUUUAAGCUCAGUGGAUGCCAGGACCCUUAGAACAAAGCACAUAGCAAGUUUUCAGUGAAGCCUUGUUAACUUUCAAAUGAAGGAAUAAACGAAUGACUAUAUUUCCACUUCGCAGAUGAGUAAACAGAGGCUUGGAGGGGUGAUGAAAUUUGCCAACAGUCAUCAAUCGUUCCAGGAACAGGUGAUGCUUCCCGGCAGUGAGACUCGAAACCAGCGGGAGUUCCCAGCCAGAGACAUGAUCUAAGUGCCAAUGGCUGAAUGUCUGUGAGCAUUUCAAGUCAUUUUAAGAAUAGGCAACAUUAGCGGCACCAUUAAAGCCUGCUGUUCCUCCAGCCCAUCACUGCCAUCCCCACCUAUUAAAAUAAUGGCAUGAAAAAUAAACAGCCUUUAUGUACA
rnacentral:lncRNA from 1 species